AAGGCAAAGCUCAUCGGUACCUUGCAACCUUGCCAAGGUUGAAGUCGAGGGUUCGAAUCCCUUCGCC
rnacentral:tRNA from 1 species